GCUAGUAAGUGGAAGCUGGAACCCUGUCCUGGCAGGCUGUCUCUAGAGCCAUACAGUGGGUGACAACUGGGGACACCAAACGCUCUGAGCUGGAAUGAGGGAAUGGCUGCUUUGGUCUGGGAAUGCAGACUGGCCCAUGGGGUCCCAGAGAAUCUAAAACUAUCCAUAAUAGCUUUCAGAAGAUUUCCCAGCAGGUAGGGGAUUUACAGCAUCUCUGGCUCCUAUUUGCAGCUCUGGAAACUGAGGCCCGGGGAGAUUAAGGCUACAUGGAAUGCCUGUAGUUGAAGAGGUAGCUGCAGGAGAGUGGAAUUUGCACUGUGUCACACACUAUCAGGGGUAGACUCAGUGUCCAGGAGGUGUGCGUGUCUAUACCCGCACAGGUGCUUCUGGGGCGAGGCAGAAGCCCCCUGCUGAGGAAUACAGGAGGGAAGAUAUGCUUUGGCUCUCUCCAGUGGCUUUCAAGCAAAAAGCCCCAAGUGCUUUGCGGACGUCCAGCCAUGGCUUAGCGCCUGAGUUGCACUGACUGGCUGACAAGGCUCUCUGCCCAGCUUCCAGGGGCCGCGUCUCCACAGGCAGGCAGGCUGGCAGGAGGUCGGAAUCAACCAGAAGAGCUCUGCUGCUCUCCAGGGGCCACGUUACCCCGUGGGCUUGCUGAAGUGAGUGGUCCGCGGAGCACCCACAGCCAAAGGCCCCAGGGGGUAAUGGCAGACAGGCCUGAGAGAUUGACCACGUCCUUUCAAUGCUCUAUCUCAUCCAGCCUUGGCAGUGACCCGGUGAAGGAGCCAGGCAUGCUCCUCCCUGUGUCACAGACAAGGAAACUGAGGCUCAAGAUCGAAGUUAGAAAACGACAUUUCGGGCACCUCAAACUAAAUCUCCUGGCUCCUGUUCCAGGCCGGUCUUCAUAUAUCCUAUACUGUCUUGAGCACCCACAGCAUUUAAAAUACCAAGCAGAACGCGGAGCUUUGAGCCUAAAUUGGGCCGGCCCGGGGGGACCAGUUCAGGGGGCAGCCUGUGCAGCCAGCGAUUGAUAUAUGCAGGCCUGCCCGAAGCCGGAUAGACUGUGGCUCCCUGGGUACCCCUACUUGCCCUGCUUCCCCUCCCAGGCCUCUUCACGUCGGACUUGACGCUGUCAUACAUGCCGCUUCCUGUCCUUGAUGUCUCUCCUCCUGCCUCUUCACCAUGUCCCUUCCCUCCAACGCCCCCUGGACACUCACCUCCCAUAAUGAAACCAUGACUGUCUCGUGGGAGGAAAAUGAGGCCGCCCUCUCUCUUUGUUCUAUGGCUCCUCCCAGGAGUCCUCCCGAUUGUUCUAAACCCUGUAGUCCUCACCUCUGUGCAUCUCGUGACUCCUGUGUCCUUGAUUCUCAGCUGUGGCUUCAGCCGUGGUACCCUCCCUACAUGUUGAGGCACGUUUGCCAUUAUUUUGCCCAGGAGAGAAAGCUGUGUUAGACACCAUACAUGAAGUUACACGAAGUCACAAAGUCACUACAACAGCCUCUGGGUCCAGCUAGGCCGCGAUGGUGACAGCCCCAAAGCUUCACCAGGCCCUCCUGAGGCAGUGUCACUGCUCCAGAGCCCCUUUGCAGUUCCCCAUGCUGUGCUGAUCAGGUGUCAUCUGUGUCUACAGAAGCCAAGGUCUUCAGCACGUGUGGCUUUUCCAGCUGUCCUAGAAUUGCUCUUCCACGCUGCCCAAAUCCCCCUCCUGCGCCUCCACCACCUUCACUGUGCGACGAAUACUGGCUCCCUUUCCCCAUGCCAGGCUGUGUGCUAAGCACUCACCAUGCUUUUUCUCAUUAAUCCAUGCCACCACCUAUGGAUAUUUUUACCCACAUUUUACAGAUAAGAAAAACGAGGCUCAGAGAGAAGAAAUAAGUUGCCUAAGGUUGCAUAGCUAAUCAGUGGUAGGGGCUGGAUUUGAACCAGCAUCUUCUUAACCACUGAGCUGGAUUGCUCGUUCAGUGUCUGAGGGCUGGUCAGAGGACCAGCUUCAGGGAUGCCUUCAUGGAGCUCUGCCUCAGGCCUUUGACGACACCCUUCACCACCAUGGUUUACCCUCGUGAGACAUAAGCCAAAUCUGAGUCCAGUGAAGUUGAUCAAAAAAUGGAUUGUUAUUUGAAAUAGGAAAAAAACGGGAGUGGGGUGACGACACCCUCUUCUUUGAGUAACUACUUACUGAGCACCUUCUGUGUUCCCCGGCACUGUUCUAGGUCCCAGAUGAAAUAAACAAAUGCCCUCAUGGAGCUCCCAGUCUAGUAAAUUACAUGGUAUGGCACAGGAUGAUGAGUGCUAAGAAGAAAGGUAAAUCCAGGAGGAAAGAGGAGGAGUCCUGGUGGGUGAGGGCUGCCUCUCUGGCCAGGGAGAUGAGGAAUGGCCGAGGCCUCUGCUGCCUGGGAGAUAGUCCUCCCCAAGGCAGAGUGUGGUGCUGAGGCUGGGAGUGUUUUAGGGGAUAGAGGGGUCAGAGGCUGGGCCUCCUCAUUUCUGCGGGUGGUGACAUAGAGGCCAGGUCUAGAAAGGGAAGUCCACCUGGAGCUCUAGCUGUUGGGGCUAAGAAUGGUGCUGUGUGUUGCUGAACGUGACAACGUGUAUUGAUUCUCUCCAUUACCAGUGAGCAAAGAGGCCUUUGUGAAACCUGAGUCCCAGGCUAGCUCUCUUCUGGGCCUCCUCUGCCUCCUCCCUGGCCCUGCCCCCACCUCCUCAGAUUGGUUUGGCCUAAAACCACGCAGAGUAAUUUUACCCAAACCUAAAAAAUAUAAGUAGAAAAGUAAAUAUGUUAGUCAAAAGAGUUUUAUUCUGCAUUUCAAAAUCAAAUGUAAAUAAUUUUAAAACAUCAUGGUUUCUCCCUCCCUUGAAAUGAACAUUUACGACGGCCUCCUGAGGACCAGGUCCUUGCCACCUAUUAUCUCAUUUAAACCAACCCUCACCACAAACUUGUGACCUAGGCAUUAUCAUCCCCAUUCUCUAGGUUUAAAAAAAACCCCAAGUAUUAUGUUAAGUGAAAUAAGCGAGAUAGAGAAAGACAAUCUCUGUAUGACUCCACUCAUAUGUGGAAGUUAAACACGUGGACAAAGAGAACAGAUUAGUGGUUACCGGGGGAAAAGGGGCAUAGGGGGUGGGCACAAAGGGUGAAGUGGUGCACCUAUAAUAUGACUGACAAAUAAAAGUGUACAACUGAAAUUUCACAAGGUUGUAAACUAUCAUAAUCUCAAUAAAAAGUAAAAAACAAAAACCCAAGGCUUAAAAAGGUAAAGUUACCGUACCGAAGUUAUAUAAAUGACAAGCUUAGGUUUUUAACCCAGGUGUGACUGCCCCAAACGUCUGUGCCAUUUCUGUUUCUCCAUCAAGACCGAACUUGGCCAUUUAUGUAGAAAGAGUAAUCUUGGGCAAACUAGUUAACCACCCAUUGCCUCAGUUUCCCAUUUGUAAAUGGGUAUGAUGGUGAUAGGUAAUUUACCCAUUUACCCCACAGUUCUUUCUGAUGGUCAUAUGAGCUCAUGCGUAAGAAGGCUGUAGAACUGUAAGGCGCUGUGAAUAUACGAUAUUAAUCCUCACCUUGAAUUUAGAAGUCAUCAUGGCUUUUUUUUCACUAUCUAACUUUGUUGAUACAGUAGUACAAUUUAGCCUAUCUGGUUUAUUUUCCACAUGCCCAUCCUGAUGGGCUGGUCUCUGGCUGCUGGCCCUAAAUUGUAUCAUCUGUGCUGCUGUCUUCCCAGCGCUUAGUAUCUCCUAUUCCAUGGCUGUCCCCCCGACAUGCUCCUUACUGGUGAGUUCUACCUAUACUACAAUGUUCUUUCUCUGGGACCCCAAGGAGGUAGUCCAUAUACACUCCAGUGUGCUGGUAAAUGUUUGAUAAUCAGCUUUCCAAGUGUAGAAUUGACAUAAGUGUUGGUUGAUUAUUGCAUUUACAAUAAUAAGUAAGAAAAAGUAAAACAACAAAUACCUAUUUCAGAACUUCAUUUUUCAAUGACAGGAGCGACUUCUUUGCUGAAUUGGAUAACCGUUUUUGAAUCCUGGAAGAAUAGUUCCUUGACUCUGUGUUAUUCACAAUGUCGUUGCAAAAGAUAUGGCACACGUUUAUGUUUAAUCUACUUGAUUAACAUGUUCUCUACCACUUUCUUAAGUCUAGACAAGCAACAAAACAAUAAAUCAAACCCUGAAUCGUAGAGUUUGCCAACUUCUGUGGUGUAAAUACUCUUACCACGGCUGAUUUCAACCUACCUGACGUGCAAUUACUGAGUGUGGAAUUGGGAAGAGGUUCACAGCAGCGUCCCACUGUGUGGUAUUCCCACCGUAGAGACAUAAUGGGCGUACAAAUCAAGAGCAUAGAUAAUAGUAAACUGUAGCAGAAUGAUUACAAUGUGAUCUUUUUUUAGUAUUUAAUACCUUUGUUGUUAAUAUAAUUUAUUUAAUUGCAAGUUUAUGCAAUUUAAUUUUUCAUAAUGGCUGUGUUUACCGACUGGAUCACAAAAUUCCUGAAAAUUUAACCAUCAGCCUUCACAAGCCAGUGCAAGCCAGCUCCAGCACACCACUGUCACUUCCCCUCUUCCUAGCAGCCUCCAUGGGCCUCAUGCCAUCUGAUGGCCACACCCUUCGCUGAACAGCUCCUGCUAGUCCAGUCCACAUGAAUCAAGGGAGCAUUAUUCAACGCUCAGCUUCUCCAAAUAAGCAAUGUCGACGGCUUCAGUCCAGUGGAGUGACUUAAUGAUCUGUUUCCUUCAAUAAACUAUGAUUUCUGAGCUUAACUCAGAUACCUGAGCGUCACUGUGAGUGAGAGGGAGGCCAGGAGGCGUUCAUGAUGUAAUAUACUGGGUUUAAACUCCGCAAGCUGAGGGCAUUGUGAGAAACGGAUUUUCUUAGCCGAUUUUAGGAGUUUGGGGUGUUUUUUUAAGCAUUAAGCCAAGGCAAAAAAUAACCCUUGCAACACAUCACUUCACAGCUGGUCGGCCUGGGAGAAGCUAUUCUGGGAUAUCCAAGCUAAGGUGCCUCUUUAAACUCCAGGCGAAAUGGAAUCAGGAUGUGGGGUUUCUAUUCCUGUCUGUGUCGCGGACUUGCUGUGUAAUCCCUGGCCAGUUAGUUCCCUGACUGGUGCCUCAGUUUACCCUCUGGCAAAAUCAAGUCAACUUCCCUUGCCGAGGACAUUAGACUUGAGCUAUGAGGAGUAAAAAAGAUAGUUGCUAUGGUUUACUGGAGGGUUUGGAGUGUCCACUCAAGGAGUCCUUGGUCAUGGAGACUCUAGGAGGAGCUAAGUUGUAGAUGGAAUCUUAAAAGAAAUGACAAAUGAGCAAGGUUUAACAGAGAGGAGCAGGAAGAGGAACCGACGGAAGGUAAAGGAGGAGGGGGGGCCUCCAACCAACAUCCAGUAAAAAUGUUGGGCCAGGGGCCAGAGUAGACUGUGUCUGGUAUUCACCUCUCUAGGGCAGAGUACACGCCAAAAAAUGAAUUCAUAACAGAAGAAAAGGCAGGCACAAUGAGGUUAGCGGAGCCUUUUGUCUGGGUUCGAUGAGACAGUUUCCUGAAAGGAACAUGAUCGAAGUUCUGAUUCUGAGACCUGCGUGGAAGAUGACUAGGGUGUGGGCAAAGUUGGAGGCCAGAUCAGCCUCAAAAACACCCCUGCAAUAUUGCAUCCUGGGUCACCGUAUGAGUACCCUCGCCCCUGCACAUCAGUUGGCAUCAUAGUUCUCAUGGAACAAGCCCCUCUCAUCUGUUGAAUGCUUGCUUGAGCCCACCCUUUGGAUGAAGGAGCAUUAGAAGUGAUCACUGCAUACUUCUUUGUAGCUCCCCCCACGCCUUGGACUGCUAUCGUCUCACUUUUCUUGCCAGCAACCUAGGCAGGAGGAGAUGCUAUCCUUGUCUUAACAUCAGAGACCUACAGAUCUUAAAUGACUUGCUCCAUUUCACAAUCAAGGCUCCAACCCAUCACCUGGCCACAAAUCUUGUGCCUCAUCUACACCAAUCUGUCUCUAUCAAAGCUAAGUCGCUAGUCAAUUUUUCCCAUCCACAGGCCAUAUACCUUUUGAAACGAAAAGCUUGUUGAUCUCUAGGAAAGUUAAAAGGCCAGCUCCAGCUGUUGAACGCUACAAGCUAGCGAAAGUCUCUUCCAAAAGUUCUAUGGGAAGCCUGAGGAUUCUGAAUUCCAAAGCCCUCCAAACGUGGAUUUCUUCUGUAAAGAGACAGUUCCCCCGUUUAGAACAUACCCUUCCUCGUUAAGCUAGUUCCAUGUUUUGUAAUAACUUUUGCUUACACCACAAAAUUGCCGUAGAUUAUGGAAAUGCAUAGGCCUUGGGAAAAAAAAGGCCCUGAGGCCCCUGGAAGUCAUUAUUCCUUCCUUUAGCAAUUGCUGAGUUAAGCACUAAAAAUAUGGUUCCCAUCUUGCUCCCUUCCCCCACCACGUGCACGCGCGCACGCACACACACACACUCACACUCACACACACGAUCUGUUGGACAUAUGUUCAGAAGAAAACAGGGAUGUGGGGGUGGGAGAAGAAGAUUCACAUGUCAUGAGUCAAGGGCUUGAGCAUUUGAAAAGAAAAAGUGGAAGAGGGUGUGGACUCACGGCCCUGGCAAUGGAGUAUCCCAGGAUUUAUUGCCUUUGAGUAUCUCUCAAGGCAAUUUUUUUAAUAAAAAUCUGUAGCUUAUGGCAUUUUUUUUUUUUUUUGGUAUAGCACAGUAAACAAGAACUCUGAAAGGGGAAGGAAGCCAGGAGAAAGCCAGCUCCAUUAGUCACGCAGCUGCAUAUCCUGUCACAAAGGACCCCAGUUGAGUAAUCGCCCAAAAUAUGCCUGUUAUUUUUUUUCUGUCAGAAAAAGAUGGGGCCUGCCAAAUUGUACUGUAAAAAAGAAAAAAACCCUGGUCUCUGAGCCCCAGAGGGGGAAAGGAAAAGAAAGAAGAAACAGGCGUCACUUCUCAGCACUCUUCUAACCCUCUCCCCAACUUAUCUUUAAAAGAAAAAGCCUUCAGACUCCCCAGAGCGAUGGAGACUGGCCUGACAAAAGCCGGCUCCGUGAGACGUCCCAGGUCUCAGAGUCCUUGCAGUUCUGUGGGGCAAGAGCUUGGAAAGAGGAGGGAUGGCAGGAGAGGGUGAGAGGACAGCCCCAAGGGGAGAGGAACAACGGACAGAAAGGGGACCAGGAUAACAAGUCCUUUGAUGGACUUGAAGUGAGGGAGCUAAAUGUCCCACAGGGAAGCUGUGGCAGCCCACACCGGUUCCGUGAGCAUUGCGUGAGUCCAGCCAGCGGCCAAGCACGCUGUGUAAGCAAAACCACCAUUGUUCCGGGCCUCCAUCAUGCCCUAGGCUGUUUGGGCCACAGACUGAACAAGAGCUGUGCGGAAGGAUGUCUGACCCUGGGGAAGUCUGAUGAGCAGGGCCUCGGAAGGACCAGAGCUGCCUACAGUCGCAGGUGUUUUCCUGGAUCGGCUUUCCAAACCCCUGGACAACAGGCUCCUGGUGGGGAAACUGAGGCACAGCAAACGCACAGUCUCAAAGCCAGUUCGAGCUUCAAGACGCAACCCCAGCCGCUGCUUCCCCUGGGAGAACUGACACCCAGAGGCGUCCAAAGGAGCCUAAGAGGAGACAGACAACGGCUUCCCGCAGAGAACUGGCCUGUGAGUUGGAAGGACAGAGUCUCCUCCCAGCUUUGUCGCUGACUUGCUGUGGAAUUUCAGGCAAUGCAAGGGAACUCCCUGUGACUGUGUUUUCCUCUCUUUAAGAUUUAUCAGCUAUGAAUCUGAGCUUCUAUAUGCCUGCAGCAUGCAGCGUACUGGGAACUCAGUGGUGAAUCACACAGAUAGAGUCCCUUUCUUCAUGUAAAACCUGGGCAACCUUUUCCAAACCUUCUGCAGCAUAUGAUUUCUUGAGUUUCCUGAAACCAGCUCCUUGGAUGGGUGAGUCUGGAGGCUGAGGGAUGGGACAGAAACAAACACAACAAAAAUAAACACACAUCACAAUUUUUAAAAAUAGAAAAAAAGCAACCAAAUACUAAUACUAGCAUUUCCAAAAUGCUUGUAGAGAGAAGAUAGUCCCUUAGCAACUGACCAUAGUGAAAAUUCUGCCAGGGCAUCUGGAAUUCACUGUUAGACGUUCCAGCUUAUUGGGAAAUGGAAAGGACCAAGACCACCUGAUGACAAACUAUAUUAACGUCAGUGCCCAACACCCAGGUCAUAUCAAAGUCCAGUUACUGGACUGACUCACGGGGACUCUCCUUCCUCUGCUCAGCAUUAGCUACAGGAAGUACCCAAAGGCUGUUGUCUUCCUGAGGGCUCAGCUUCUUGGUGAGGCCAGGUCCUUCAUGUAAACCGUGAGCUGAAAUCAGAAAUGUCAACACAGGCCGGUUGACUAAUGUUCUGGGGCUAAUGGGCCUGGCACCUGAGGUGAUGCUAUUCUCCCCCGAAUCGCAGGUGAAUGAGGUCUCUGGAGGUGGCACCCCCCACACGGAUUUCCCUUUGUGGUAGCAGUGACAUCUGAGUCACUGAGCAUGUGGCCACCAUUUAGCUUCGCCCCCUCCCCUUCCUGUGCCCCAGAAGGGGGCUGGGGGCAGGUCCUCAGAGCAGAGAAGGCUCCACUUCCUCCGAGCUCCUGACAACAUUUCUCAGCCGCGUCAGGCCUUGCAAGUCUGCGGUCG
rnacentral:lncRNA from 1 species